rnacentral:rRNA from 1 species
AGAGUUUGAUCCUGGCUCAGAUUGAACGCUAGCGGGAUGCUUUACACAUGCAAGUCGAACGGCAGCACGAGCUAAGCUUGCUUAGCUUGGUGGCGAGUGGCGAACGGGUGAGUAAUGUAUCGGAACGUGCCCAGUAGCGGGGGAUAACUACGCGAAAGCGUGGCUAAUACCGCAUACGCCCUACGGGGGAAAGGGGGGGAUCGCAAGACCUCUCACUAUUGGAGCGGCCGAUAUCGGAUUAGCUAGUUGGUGGGGUAAAGGCCUACCAAGGCUGCGAUCCGUAGCUGGUUUGAGAGGACGACCAGCCACACUGGGGCUGAGACACGGCCCAGACUCCUACGGGAGGCAGCAGUGGGGAAUUUUGGACAAUGGGGGCAACCCUGAUCCAGCCAUCCCGCGUGUGCGAUGAAGGCCUUCGGGUUGUAAAGCACUUUUGGCAGGGAAGAAAAGGCGCCGGUUAAUACCUGGUGCCGCUGACGGUACCUGCAGAAUAAGCACCGGCUAACUACGUGCCAGCAGCCGCGGUAAUACGUAGGGUGCAAGCGUUAAUCGGAAUUACUGGGCGUAAAGCGUGCGUCGGCGGUUUGGCAAGAAAGGUGUGAAAUCCCAGGGCUUAACCUUGGAACUGCACUUUUAACUGCCAGGCUAGAGUAUGUCAGAGGGGGGUAGAAUUCCACGUGUAGCAGUGAAAUGCGUAGAGAUGUGGAGG